UACAGAGACUGCAAGCGUUAUUCGGAUUCACUGGGCGUAAAGGGUGCGCAGGCGGCCGUGUGUGUGAGGCGUGAAAGCCCGGGGCUUAACCCCGGAAUUGCACCUCAAACUACAUGGCUAGAGCAUUGGAGAGGGUAGCGGAAUUCACGGUGUAGCAGUGAAAUGCGUAGAUAUCGUGAGGAACACCAGUGGCGAAGGCGGCGAUCUGGGAAGAUACUGACGCUGAGGUGCGAAAGCGUGGGGAGCAAACAGG
rnacentral:rRNA from 1 species